rnacentral:rRNA from 1 species
CUAAGGUAGCGAAAUUCCUUGUCGGGUAAGUUCCGACCCGCACGAAAGGCGUAACGAUUUGGGCACUGUCUCAACAACAGACUCGGUGAAAUUGUAAUACCGGUGAAGAUGCCGGUUACCUGCGACAGGACGGAAAGACCCCAUGGAGCUUUACUGUAGCUUGACAUUGAGUCUCGGUGCUACAUGUACAGGAUAGGUGGGAGACUAUGAAGCAUGGACGUCAGUCUGUGUGGAGUCAUCCUUGGGAUACCACCCUUGUAGUACUGGGAUUCUAACCAGAGGCCAUGAAUCUGGUCUUGGGACACUGUCAGGUGGACAGUUUGACUGGGGCGGUCGCCUCCCAAAAAGUAACGGAGGCGCUCAAAGGUUCUCUCAGUACGGUCGGAAAUCGUACGAAGAGUGUAAAGGCAAAAGAGAGCUUGAUUGCAAGACAUACAGGUCGAGCAAGGACGAAAGUCGGACUUAGUGAUCCGGUGGUUCCGCAUGGAAGGGCCAUCGCUCAACGGAUAAAAGCUACCCUGGGGAUAACAGGCUGAUCUCCCCCAAGAGUCCACAUCGACGGGGAGGUUUGGCACCUCGAUGUCGGCUCAUCACAUCCUGGGGCUGUAGUAGGUCCCAAGGGUUGGGCUGUUCGCCCAUUAAAGUGGUACGCGAGCUGGGUUCAGAACGUCGUGAGACAGUUCGGUCCCUAUCCGUCGCAGGCGUAGGAAAUUUGAGGAGACCUGUCCUUAGUACGAGAGGACCGGGAUGGACGUACCGCUGGUGUACCAGUUGUUCUGCCAAGGGCAUGGCUGGGUAGCUAAGUACGGAAAGGAUAAGCGCUGAAAGCAUCUAAGCGCGAAGCCCACUUCAAGAUAAGAUUUCCCACCGCAAGGUUAAGAUCCCAGGAAGACUACCUGGUUGAUAGGUCAGAGGUGUAAGUGCAGUAAUGUAUUUAGCUUACUGAUACUAAUAGAUCGAGGACUUGACCAA